rnacentral:rRNA from 1 species
AUACGGAGGGUGCAAGCGUUACUCGGAAUCACUGGGCGUAAAGCGCGCGCAGGCGGCUAUUUAAGUUGGAUGUGAAAGCCUACGGCUCAACCGUAGAACUGCAUCCAAAACUAUUUAGCUAGAGUGUGGGAGAGGAAGAUGGAAUUAGUUGUGUAGGGGUAAAAUCCGUAGAGAUUACUAGGAAUACCAAAAGCGAAGGCAAUCUUCUGGAACACUACUGACGCUGAGGCGCGAAAGCGUGGGGAGCAAACGGGAUUAGAAACCCCUGUAGUCC